rnacentral:rRNA from 1 species
UACGUAGGUGGCAAGCGUUGUCCGGAUUUACUGGGUGUAAAGGGCGUGCAGCCGGAGAGACAAGUCAGAUGUGAAAUCCACGGGCUCAACCCGUGAACUGCAUUUGAAACUGUUUCCCUUGAGUGUCGGAGAGGUAAUCGGAAUUCCUUGUGUAGCGGUGAAAUGCGUAGAUAUAAGGAAGAACACCAGUGGCGAAGGCGGAUUACUGGACGAUAACUGACGGUGAGGCGCGGAAGCGUGGGGAGCAAACAGG